UACCAGCACCCCGAGUGGUCGGGACGAUUAUUGGGCCUAAAGCAUCCGUAGCCGGUUCUACAAGUCUUCCGUGAAAUCCACCUGCUUAACAGAUGGGCUGCGGAGGAUACUAUGGAGCUAGGAGGCGGGAGAGGCAAGCGGUACUUAGUGGGUAGGGGUAAAAUCCGUUGAUCCAUUGAAGACCACCAGUGGCGAAGGCGGCUUGCCAGAACGCACUCGACGGUGAGGGAUGAAAGCUGGGGGAGCAAACCGG
rnacentral:rRNA from 1 species